rnacentral:rRNA from 1 species
GACGAACGCUGGCGGCGUGCCUAAUACAUGCAAGUCGAACGCACUCUCGUUUAGAUUGAAGGAGCUUGCUCCUGAUUGAUAAACAUUUGAGUGAGUGGCGGACGGGUGAGUAACACGUGGGUAACCUGCCCUAAAGUGGGGGAUAACAUUUGGAAACAGAUGCUAAUACCGCAUAAAACCUAAACACCGCAUGGUGUAGGGUUGAAAGAUGGUUUCGGCUAUCACUUUAGGAUGGACCCGCGGUGCAUUAGUUAGUUGGUGAGGUAAAGGCUCACCAAGACCGUGAUGCAUAGCCGACCUGAGAGGGUAAUCGGCCACACUGGGACUGAGACACGGCCCAGACUCCUACGGGAGGCAGCAGUAGGGAAUCUUCCACAAUGGACGAAAGUCUGAUGGAGCAACGCCGCGUGAGUGAAGAAGGUUUUCGGAUCGUAAAACUCUAGUUGUUGGAGAAGAAUGUAUCUGAUAGUAACUGAUCAGGUAGUGACGGUAUCCAACCAGAAAG